AGAUGCCAAAGUUUCCAUUGGAAAACCUGCACGUGUCAGGGACCACCAAACAAUUCUUGCAAACCCAGACCCUCUGCGGCCAGGGUCGGGUGAUGGGGAGGAGCUGCGAGGUACCAGGGCCCUUGAUAUGGACAAUUAGAGAACCAUGGAUUAGUUGCCGUUGAAGGGGGCUCCGCCAAUGAAAUCUUCUCUGCGCUCUGAUUUGGCGGUUCUUCGGUGCAAAUAUGACAGCUUUCUCUCUCAGCUCUUUUCUGCAUCUCUCCAUGUCCGACCCCGGAGCCCAGUUCUCGGUCUGCAAUUUCUACACCACAACCUUUGCAAUCACCACCACCACCACCCCUAGGUCCCAUGUCAGCAGGUGCCAGGUUGCUACAAAGGUGACAGGGCACAUUGGGAAGAAGGCUUGUUGAUUGCAGAAGAUACUUAUGCCCCGUGUUUCCAGGUGGGGAAAUGUUAGAAUAAAUGUACUUUGUACUAAAUAUAUAGUCAUGGAGAAUUGUUCAGAUUGUUUAUUUCUUUCUUUGAUGCUAACUAAUGUAUUAGAAAGAAACAGAUAUUUAUCUGUCUUUGCUGUUUUUUUUUCUUUCUUCCCAAACAGGUCGAUGCCUGUGUGUUCCAUCAGUUAAUGGGGAGUAGUAGUUAAGAGAGUGUACUAGUGAGGUGUUGGUGAGGUGGGAUUUUGCUGUCUAUCGAGGAAAAUAAAAGAUGUGAACUUCCUGUGUUCAGAGCAUG
rnacentral:lncRNA from 1 species